UGGGGAAUUUUGGACAAUGGGCGAAAGCCUGAUCCAGCAAUGCCGCGUGUGUGAAGAAGGCCUUCGGUUGUAAAGCACUUUUGUCCGGAAAGAAAUCCUUGGCUCUAAUACAGUCGGGGGAUGACGGUACCGGAAGAAUAAGCACCGGCUAACUACGUGCCAGCAGCCGCGGUAAUACGUAGGGUGCAAGCGUUAAUCGGAAUUACUGGGCGUAAAGCGUGCGCAGGCGGUUUGCUAAGACCGAUGUGAAAUCCCCGGGCUCAACCUGGGAACUGCAUUGGUGACUGGCAGGCUAGAGUAUGGCAGAGGGGGGUAGAAUUCCACGUGUAGCAGUGAAAUGCGUAGAGAUGUGGAGGAAUACCGAUGGCGAAGGCAGCCCCCUGGGCCAAUACUGACGCUCAUGCACGAAAGCGUGGGGAGCAAACAGGAUUAGAUACCCUGGUAGUCCACGCCCUAAACGAUGUCAACUAGUUGUGGGGAUUCAUUCCUUAGUAACGUAGCUAACGCGUGAAGUUGACCGCCUGGGGAGUACGGUCGCAAGAUUAAAACUUAAAGGAAUUGAC
rnacentral:rRNA from 1 species